GACGAACGCUGGCGGCGUGCUUAACACAUGCAAGUCGAACGGUGAAGCUCCAGCUUGCUGGAGUGGAUCAGUGGCGAACGGGUGAGUAACACGUGAGCAACCUGCCCCUGACUCUGGAAUAAGCGCUGGAAACGGCGUCUAAUACUGGAUACGAGAAGGGUCCGCAUGGGCACUUUCUGGAAAGUUUUUCGGUUGGGGAUGGGCUCGCGGCCUAUCAGCUUGUUGGUGAGGUAAUGGCUCACCAAGGCGACGACGGGUAGCCGGCCUGAGAGGGCGACCGGCCACACUGGGACUGAGACACGGCCCAGACUCCUACGGGAGGCAGCAGUGGGGAAUAUUGUACAAUGGGCGAAAGCCUGAUGCAGCGACGCCGCGUGAGGGAUGACGGCCUUCGGGUUGUAAACCUCUUUCAGCAGGGAAGAAGCGAAAGUGACGGUACCUGCAGAAGAAGCACCGGCUAACUACGUG
rnacentral:rRNA from 1 species